CCUACGGGUGACAGCAGUGAGGAAUAUUGGUCAAUGGGCGCAAGCCUGAACCAGCCAAGUAGCGUGAAGGAUGACUGCCCUACGGGUUGUAAACUUCUUUUAUAAAAGAAUAAAGUGAGGCACGUGUACCUUUUUGUAUGUACUUUAUGAAUAAGGAUCGGCUAACUCCGUGCCAGCAGCCGCGGUAAUACGGAGGAUCCGAGCGUUAUCCGGAUUUAUUGGGUUUAAAGGGAGCGUAGAUGGGUGGUUAAGUCAGUGGUGAAAGUUUGCGGCUCAACCGUAAAAUUGCAAUUGAUACUGGUAGUCUUGAGUAUAGUUGAGGUAGGCGGAAUUUGUGGUGUAGCGGUGAAAUGCUUAGAUAUCACGAAGAACUCCGAUUGCGAAGGCAGCUUACUAAACUGCCACUGACAUUGAUGCUCGAAAGUGUGGGGAGCAAACAGGAUUAGAUACCCUGGUAGUC
rnacentral:rRNA from 1 species